rnacentral:rRNA from 1 species
ACGUAGGGCGCAAGCGUUGUCCGGAUUUACUGGGCGUAAAGGGCGCGUAGGCGGCCUUAUAAGUCAGACGUGAAAUCCCCCGGCUUAACCUGGGAACUGCGUCUGAUACUGGGAGGCUUGAGUAUGGGAGAGGGAGGUAGAAUUCCACGUGUAGCAGUGAAAUGCGUAGAUAUGUGGAGGAAUACCGAUGGCGAAGGCAGCCUCCUGGGAUAACACUGACGCUCAUGCACGAAAUCGUGGGGAGCGAACAGG